CGUCGCUGUGAUGAUGCUUUUUCCUGCCAUUCGUAGUUUCCACCGGAGGUCUAACGACCAAAGACGGUCCAAACCUUCCUUGGAUGUCUGAGCGACUCGGGAAUAUUGAUCAUUUUGGUGUUUUUGAUGUUUUUGAUAAUUAAAUGCUUCUUAAAUCUGACUUUCAGGCUGGACGUGAACACAGUGUCUGGGUCUGUGAAGGUCGUCAGCUGUUGAGAACAGAAGGUCGGCGUUCGGAGCUGGACGUGUUUUCAUCGUCUCCGUCAGUCGCCGGCGGCGGCGGCGGUUAUCAUCGGGCUGGACGUGAACACAGUGUCUGGAUCUGAGUGAAGGUCGUCAGCUGUUGAACAGAAGGUCGACCGUAAACGAGGAGCCGGACUGCAGCUGUUUCUCUUUUUUCCGUUUUUAAUUUAAGUUUUUGUACAAAAAGAAAUAAUAAAGAUCCAACUGUG